rnacentral:rRNA from 1 species
GCCCCUAAGGCGAGGCAGAGAUGCGUAGCUGAUGGGAAACAGGUUAAUAUUCCUGUACCGAUCUAUAGUGCGAUGUGGGGACGGAGAAGGUUAGCUCAGCCAACUGUUGGAUAUGUUGGUUCAAGCCUGUAGUCGUGCCUGGUAGGCAAAUCCGCCGGGCUUAGAUGAGGGGUGAUAACGAGGCUGCUUGCAGCCGAAGUGAGUGAUACCCUGCUUCCAGGAAAAGCCACUAAGCUUC